AAAAAAAAGAAACUUUUAUUUGAUUUAAAAACAGAGGCCAAAUUUCAAAUAUAUUGAAUGGUAAAAAAUCAAUAAAAAAAAAUAAACUGUAAAAUCCCAGUUAAUUGUGGACUCGGAGCAAGUUAAUGCGGGAGAACUAAUCCGCACUUUUGCAUGCUUGCAUCAGUUCCAUGCAUUGACAAAUGGCUUCGGCAACUUACCUCGUUUACAAAUUCAGGGCAACAUCUGGGUGUCAUGAAGGACAAGGUGGUGUUGAU
rnacentral:misc_RNA from 1 species